ACGGGUGGCACGCCGAAUCCCUGCCCCCAUCCGUUGGAAACAGAAACCCGAUGGCAGGAGCGGGGGAACCAAUACCCGGUCGCCGAUUCUGGGGACCUUGGGGUGAAGCCGCUAACGCCGACGACACGAGGAGGAAGCUUGUCCUCCGUUGCCGAAGGCACAGGAUUUCCGGAGUUCCUGACUUGGCGGCCGGGCUUUUUCCCUGCCCGAACCCGACAGCUCACCUCGCAGGCGUGGGGAAGGAAAAC
rfam:Frankia sp. EAN1pec, complete genome.